GUGCUUGUUUCAGCAGCACAUAUACUAAAAUUGGAAUAAUAUAGAGAAGAUUAGCACACCCUCUGAGCAAGAAUGACAUGCAAAUGUGUGAAGUAUUCCACAUUUUU
ensembl:snRNA U6 U6 spliceosomal RNA